rnacentral:misc_RNA from 1 species
AAGUCGUAACAAGGUUUCCGUAGGUGAACCUGCGGAAGGAUCAUUAAGGUAAAGUUGCUUAGUCUAUUCAUGUGAUCUCCCUAGGAUGAACUGGGAUAGGCUGGGUAACUAUAAAAAUUUCUAUGCGUACCGUAUUGUAAAGCCACUUUGUUUAACAGAGUGAUGAUUAUUAACCCUUUAAAUAUUAAGUCAUACAAAACCAAAAGAAACAACUUUUAACAAUGGAUCUCUUGGCUCUC